UACGUAGGGUCCGAGCGUUGUCCGGAAUUAUUGGGCGUAAAGGGCUCGUAGGCGGUUUGUCGCGUCGGGAGUGAAAUCUUACAGCUUAACUGUGAACUUGCUUCCGAUACGGGCAGACUUGAGGCAUUCAGGGGGAGAACGGAAUUCCUGGUGUAGCGGUGAAAUGCGCAGAUAUCAGGAGGAACACCGGUGGCGAAGGCAGCUCUCUGGGACGGUACUG
rnacentral:rRNA from 1 species